rnacentral:rRNA from 1 species
GGAAAUCUCACCAGGCCCGGACACUGGAAGGAUUGACAGAUUGAUAGCUCUUUCUUGAUUCGGUGGGUGGUGGUGCAUGGCCGUUCUUAGUUGGUUGAGUGAUUUGUCUUGUUAAUUCCGUUAACGAACGAGACCUUAACCUGCUAAAUAGUGACGCGGUUCAUCGAACCGUGGGCCACUUCUUAGAGGGACUAUCGGAUUCAAACCGAUGGAAGUGUGAGGCAAUAA